UAAACCAUAUAAAGUCGAGUAAAUGGAGACAAUUAAGAUAUUUCAUUCCAGUAUGUUUUUCAUAACAUCAAUAAUCAAUUUACUCAAAUAAUCAACUUGGCUUAUGUAUUUUACAAAACUUGGCUCCUGCCAAAAUCAUUCCCGAGGAUGCCUUGGCCUAGGCAUCUGAUUGAGACCACCAAGGCUGUUAAAUGUCUUUACAUCCAAAAUUCUAGCCAUGCCUUGGCGUUGGCUGAGUCUCACUCUCACGCAGUGGUCCACGUGAAGUGCACUCAAAUCUUUACCUCCAAAGAUACCCUUCACACGGCUCUCCGAUCGAGGUAAGGUAUAUCUGAUUUUGUGCCCCUUCUCUUAGGCUGGUCCACAGAACCUCCACUGUAGGGAUUAUGAAUUAUUUUAUCUACCACCUGAUUUAUAAAAUCUUUUUCUGCAUGACAUAACAAUUUAUCGCAACCUAGCCUUUCAAGGUUGAAUACACAAUACAAAUAAUUCUAACACCAAAAUCAGUUUAGCCAUUCAUGAUCAUAUAUUGUCAUAAGCCAUUCAAUUUAGAACCAUAAAUUUACAACACAAGUAGGUAGUCUCCAAUUACUCUAUUUUCAAAACCAGUAUUCAAUUUUUCAGAAAAUUUAUAAAAUCAUUUUAUAAAAGCACAAUUUCUCCUAAAAACAUAGCAAUUUAUCAUUUAAACCUAUUUUUCGUAAAAUCAUACAAUUGUAUAAAACUACUCUAAAUAAAUAAGACGAUAAUAAGUUCACUCAAAGUUCUAGGAGUCGAUGUACUCUUAAUCCCAGUCUUCAAGCAUAAUCUCUGUACUUUUACCAGUGUAAUUUGCUCACCACCUAUCCACAAUAUACAAUACAUAAUUCACCACAUUAAUGCUUGACCAUUAUAAAUCAAUUCAGGCUCGGUGUAUAUGCAUAAUAUGACAUGCAACUUAUCCGACUACCGCUUAAAUACGGUGCUGACCUAAUUCGGCCUAUUACCCGAUUAAAUUACUAAUGCAUCUAAUUUAAUCCCAAAUUACUCCAUUUCUUUUCUAAUACCUCAAUUCACCAAACAUUAUGCAAAUAACAGCAAUUUCAGCAUCAAAACCUUCCCAUUUCUUCAUGGAAAAAUUCAGCCAUUACAGUGCACUAACAUCAUGAUUUUUCCUAAUUAAUUUUCUCUCCAUAAUUCAUUAAUUUCUACACCAAAAACUAUUAUUUCUUAAUCAAAUCACCUAGAAUAAUAUCCAAUUCUUCCUCAUUUUUCACUUAGAGAAUUAGGCUAAGGCUAGGUAAUGGGAAAAAUGAAUGUUUUUCUACAUAUUUUGUUUACUAACAUGCUAAACUAACACUAAACACUAACAUAUAUAUGAAAAUCAAAUCAAUCCAACAAUUUUCUCUCUCUAGACCCAUAUGACCAGCCAUGAAAUCACCAUGAAAACAUGCAAUUUAAUCAUGGAAAGUAAGGAGAAAUGCUUGGGAAUAAGAAAACUCAAGCUUAAUAGAAAAAAUCUCACCUUUUUCACUUAAUUUCCUUGAAAAUUCACACUUUUUCUUUGAUUUUCUCUCUCUAGGGUUUGGUUUUUGUUUUCUCUCUCUUCUUGCUGGUUUGACC
rnacentral:lncRNA from 1 species